AGAACUAGGUGGAGGGACGUCCAGCUGGGAGGAGGCCUAGGGGAAGAACCAGGACUAGCUGGAGGGACGUCCAGCUGGAAGGAGGCCUAGGGGAAGACCCAGGACUAGGUGGAAGGACGUCCAGCUGGGAGGAGGCCUUGGG